AGUGAACGCUGGCGGUAGGCCUAACACAUGCAAGUCGAACGGCAGCACAGGAGAGCUUGCUCUCUGGGUGGCGAGUGCCGGACGGGUGAGGAAUACAUCGGAAUCUGCCCAGUCGUGGGGGAUAACGUAGGGAAACUUACGCUAAUACCGCAUACGACCUUCGGGUGAAAGAGGGGGAUCGCAAGACCUCUCGCGAUUGGAUGAGCCGAUGUCGGAUCAGCUAGUUGGCGGGGUAAUGGCCCACCAAGGCGACGAUCCGUAGCUGGUCUGAGAGGAUGAUCAGCCACACUGGAACUGAGACACGGUCCAGACUCCUACGGGAGGCAGCAGUGGGGAAUAUUGGACAAUGGGCGCAAGCCUGAUCCAGCCAUACCGCGUGGGUGAAGAAGGCCUUCGGGUUGUAAAGCCCUUUUGUUGGGAAAGAAAUCUUUCAGGCUAAUACCCUGGGAGGAUGACGGUACCCAAAGAAUAAGCACCGGCUAACUUCGUG
rnacentral:rRNA from 1 species